GACGAACGCUGGCGGCGUGCUUAACACAUGCCAGUCGAACGGAAAGGCCCUGCUUUUGUGGGGUGCUCGAGUGGCGAACGGGUGAGUAACACGUGAGUAACCUGCCCUUGACUUUGGGAUAACUUCAGGAAACUGGGGCUAAUACCGGAUAGGAGCUCCUGCUGCAUGGUGGGGGUUGGAAAGUCUCGGCGGUUGGGGAUGGACUCGCGGCUUAUCAGCUUGUUGGUGGGGUAGGCUUACCAAGGCUUUGACGGGUAGCCGGCCUGAGAGGGUGACCGGCCACAUUGGGACUGAGAUACGGCCCAGACUCCUACGGGAGGCAGCAGUGGGGAAUAUUGCACAAUGGGCGGAAGCCUGAUGCAGCAACGCCGCGUGCGGGAUGACGGCCUUCGGGUUGUAAACCGCUUUCGCCUGUGACGAAGCGUGAGUGACGGUAAUGGGUAAAGAAGCACCGGCUAACUACGUG
rnacentral:rRNA from 1 species